rnacentral:rRNA from 1 species
GACGAACCGUCCAAACGUUAUUCGGAAUCACUGGGCUUACAGAGUUCGUAGGCGGUUCGGUAAGUUAGGUGUGAAAUCCCUUGGCUCAACCAAGGAACCGCGCUUAAUACUGCCGAACUUGAGGGAGAUAGAGGAGAGCGGAACUGAUGGUGGAGCGGUGAAAUGCGUUGAUAUCAUCAGGAACACCGGUGGCGAAGGCGGCUCUCUGGGUCUCUCCUGACGCUGAGGAACGAAAGCUAGGGGAGCAAACGGG